rnacentral:ncRNA from 1 species
AAUAAAGUUUUGAUUAGAAGAAGUAGCCGGUUUUAAAUGUAAAGAGAGCUCCGCGGCUGAGAAGGAGUCGUUUGGAUCGGUGAACACACAUCUAUGAACUAACCGAUUGAACCAAGUAGAUCGAUUCGCAAGUUUAGCGUUAUCAGGGUUACCACAGCUGUUAUUGGCCAAGUGUCGAUGACUAGCUGCUGGCAACGUAAGGCACACUAUCGUGAGGUAGUGGCAAAUUGGGGUGGAACCGCGAUUAAAAUUCGUCCUCGAA